UGCGUAGGCGGUUUGGUAAGUCAGAUGUGAAAUUCCUGGGCUCAACCGAGGAACUGCAUUUGAUACUGCCAGACUAGAGUACUGGAGAGGAGACUGGAAUUUACGGUGUAGCAGUGAAAUGCGUAGAUAUCGUAAGGAAGGCCAGUGGCGAAGGCGAGUCUCUGGACAGUAACUGACGCUGAGGCACGAAGGCUAGGGGAGCAAACGG
rnacentral:rRNA from 1 species